GGAUAGCUCAGUUGGCAGAACACGAGACUCUUAAUCUCAGGGUCAAGGGUUCAAGGCCCAUGUUGGGCA